UUUCCACAGGUCAUCCCUUCUAUGACUAAAAAUCUUGACAUGGGGCUGGCUCCAAUCCUAAAUGUUACAACUCUUACGUCAGAGAUGCGUUGGGCUUCGGUCUCAACAAGGUACUGUUUUUGAUGUACCACAACUUCUCAGAUGAUGUGGCACCUUAAUUUCUUUGUGGCUUAAAAAUGAUUACAUGCUGUAUUACAUCUGCCCCACACACACUCUUUUCACCCUUAUGGUUUAUGGUGCACUUGGAAUUCUAAUUUGCAAAUAUAUACAAUGGGCUUGGAUCAGUGAUUGGCUCCUUUCAGGUCAGUACUCUAAAAAGUUUUCUCCUGGUCUUUUGACUUAAUCCUCUUUGUUCCUUCUAAAUGAUGAAUAAGGUUCUCAAGCCACUCAUAUCCAGGUUAACUAGUAGGAGCUGAUAGGAUAUAUUAAAAUCAUCAUUUGUUCCAAAAACUUAAGUUGAUAGAAUGAGUUAGAUUUAUUUAUAUAUUUUA